rnacentral:lncRNA from 1 species
AAAGCUGAGAGAAUUUUAGUAACUUGCCAAAGGACAAGUAGCUAAGAGGUGAUGGAGCUGAAGCUGGAAUCCAGAUGUCUUGGAUUCCAAAUUCUCCUAGUCAUUCCUAGUGCUGCCUGUCUGCCCUCCUCUUACAUGGUAACUCUUCUGCUGAGUCCUCCUGAUCUCUCCUCAGCUCUUGGUGCCCCGUCUUCUCAAAUGCAUCCAUAGGUCAUUUUGCUCCCCACCUCCUUGGACCAUGAGAAGCUUUUAGCUGGAUCUGUACAUUAGUCAUCGAGUAUUCCCAGUUUGUGGCAUAGAUUAGCUUCUCAGUAAAUAUCUCUUGGAUAAAGGAACAAAUCAUUGCAAGUAUCUUCAUGCAUAUUACUAAAUUGUUCUUUAUCAACCUUGUACUCUAAUUUUAUUAGCAAGAUUUCCAACACCAGCUCACUGCAUGAUCACUGGCCCUAAGAAAUUGAACUUCAACUACUUCAAGACCAUGUUGUUUCACCCAUUUUAUAUCCACAUCACUCUUCUGAAUUUCUGUAGGAGAAAGAUCCUUGGAGUGGAUCAGGUGGCCAGGAUGAACUUUGGAAAGAAUGUCAUCACUUUGAAAUAUUUCACCAUUUCUGGCUUGCAAGAGGGCUAUUAUCUAUUUUGCUGUUGACACAAAAAGGGAUAUUACCAUGUGACUGAGCAAGAGGCUUCAGCAGUUUCUCCAAGUUCCAUCAAGCCACAAACAUACUGAGGUUUGCUUUUCCUUUAAAAAUAAGACCACUGCCCCAAACCAGGAGCAGAAUGUCUAUACAUGUGGGAGAUCCUACUUGGACAGUUUCUGUCAUUUCCUUUAAAAUGAUGGUUCCAUUGUGCCCCAUUGUAGUGGAAUUUGAGGGUAGCAUUACUCUCUGACUUUAGGUUUUUUUAUGAGAAGCAGAUUAGACUAACUACACUUGAGCCUUGAACCAGCUUGGGGUUAAUCUGCAUAUAAAUUAAAAUUGGCUCUCUGCAUCCAUAGUUCCUGCAGAACAUGUACUUCAGCCAACCCUGGUUUAUGUAGUGCUAUAGUAUUUGCUAUUGAAAAAUGCCUGCCUGUAAGUGGAUCCAACAGUUCAAACCUGCAUUGUUCAAGGAUCAACCAUAUAUAAUUCUUCUUUUAAUAUAGGCAAUGUCAGGCUCAAUCUGAAUAUUUAUAGAUAUAGCAUGAAUUUCCCAAACCAUCUUCUGAGUUAGAAGCACAACUGUGAGUAUGUCUGUAUCCCUUUGUUUAGUGAUCUCAUUUAUGAGAUUAUGCCAUGAGUGGGACAUCUUUGGGGUUUUAAAGGUGAUGCCUUGGAGGUUUUGGAACCAGGAAAUUGACAGUGAUUAGCAUUUGAACUGUCACUUCCUCCUUUGCUAUGUUACCAGUAUAGAUGGCACCAUAG